rnacentral:lncRNA from 1 species
GAGCAUUACAAAACAGGGUGCUACCUCCUCAUUCGAAACCACAAGAAUCCUCCCCAAAAACAUUCCCCCUAGUAGAUAUUUUCCGACUUGCUUCGCGAUGUACAAACCAAAUUGAGAUGUUAUCUUAAUUAAAACUAACGUUCAUUUAUUUGUAUGGCAAACGAAACAUAUACACAGAACCAAAUACUACAAUAAACAGCUAGCUAUGCUCACAAGCUUGUGACCAUAAAUAUAUAUGGAUUAUUUAUCCAAAAGUCCGUGGUGUUAAGAAAGAUGUUAUAUUGCGCAAAGACAGUUCCCACAUCAAAUCUAUGGCGCAUAUGUUACCACAUAUUGUUGGGGUACACAUUUUAUAUACUGGAAACAAGCCGUAGACAAAAGAAACUCCUUUAUCAUCACUCCAUGAAAUAAAAAAACACAUGACGAGGAGAAUUACCAUCGUAAUAUUAAACCUGAAAACAAACGGUCUUAGUUACAUAGAAGUCAGCAAGAAUUAGAAACAUUGGAGCUAAUUAGUUAACCAAUUAAAUUUUCCCUGAGACACUAAUCAAACCAUAAAACUCUCAAUACAAGUCCACUAAUUACUUAAAUUAGCAUAAGGGUUUUAAAAAAAAAUCUCACCUAUUGACUCCGGCACACGUUCGAAACGUGGAAAGAUCAACAGACUUGUUGGGCAGAUCGAUCUUGCCGCAGUUGGUCCACUAAGAAAAUCAUAAUGCCACACUUGGUGUAAACUGCAGGGGGGAAAGAUAUUUCAGCUAGAACCAAUAUUUUUAACCUGAUGCACUGAUAAGAGAACACGCAGGAAGCCGGUUAAGAAAAACUAAACCACAUGCGUUUUAUACAGACCGUGCACACACUAUUGAUACAGAGCCGACCCAUCCGUCUUGAAUCUUUCUGAAAUUACAAUCCAAUUAAAUAUAUAAAACCCAGUAUGGUACUAAAUAUCCAACUAUCUGGAUUUCUCUACAAACAAUCUCAACUUGGAACCAGUAUAGUCUGAAAACUUUACUGGUAGGAUUGAGAAAACAUAGGUACCUUGAUCACAUGGAUUUUGCUCUGCGGCGUUUGCUGGAAAUCCCUAAUUACCGGCUAGAAAAUUCUCACCCACUCCAAGCCACACAAACUGUUCUUCUCACCCUCAGUCCUUCUUCAGAUGCACACAUUCGUCAUUUGGUUAAAUGAUAGAAAAAAAUUGCAUGAACAAUCAAUGUAUAUACCUGAAUUAAACAGUAGCUACAAUGGUCACGCACUUCAUCUUCUUUUCUAUUCGAGUGGACACCAGAUCAAGCUAGUUGAUGGUGCUCUGAAAGUCAAUGUACAUCUGAUACACCACGUUGAUGAUUUUUUGCUGUUUCAUGGGCCACACUAUUGCUAUCUCAUGCAAAUCUCCCGUAGAUUUCCUCUGAUCCGACCCAAAUCUGAUACACCAUGCAGCCUAACAAAGCAAGAAAAUGCACCAAACUGAAAUCAUGUUUUGCAUAAGCAGAUUAUAAGAUAAUUUUGAAGGGUUCUGUGUAAUAAACAAUUUAAAGCAGCACAUGCAUGUCGGAGGACCAUAUAUUGACGAAUACAAUACAUAACACUGUACUCUGAAAGUCAAUGUCGUUGUACUCACUUAUUUCCUCUUACAGCAAAUACAUAGUGAUGAAUUAAUGUAGGCGAUCUUUACUUUAAUCCAUAUGCUGUGUUAUUAACUACAUGAACAUGAGAAACUGAGACUCAAAUAUUUCUUUUGUGCCAUUGCAAACCUAGUUAGGUCUCUUCUCUCCAAUAAUCAAAAGAGAAUACAUGCAUCUAAAGAAAGCACAUACAUACCUCCAGUUAAGACCAUCUAAACCAUUCGGGCAAAAAUAUGUAUAGUCAUUGAUCAGCUAUACAUGCCUGAUGCAGCCGCAUGGCUUCGUUUCUCGUGUUCUCCUCCACCUGACCAUCGUCGCCACUCCCCACCAUUGCAUGUGCCAAGUUCGUCCUCGUCACACAUGCUUGUAUUAUGUUCGCUGACACAGGAAUAGUGAUCUCCACGCCCGCCCUUACCCACUCGUCGGGCCCCUACUAAACGCAUCUCCGCGUGCGCCCUCGCCACCAAGUGCCUUUCAGCGACACAGAGAGAGACUA